rnacentral:lncRNA from 1 species
UUGGAAAGCAAAAGAAUUAAUGAACAACUACAACAGACUCAACAACAAAGAUCAAUGAAUGAUACUUUUCUUCCUUUCAACACAAAAAAUGAGUAUCACCCCCAUCACAUUGUUGCUUAUGUCUGCCGCCCACCGCCGCCGGCAACUUUCCGGUGUCGCCUCGCCCCGCCGGCCCUUCUCACACGCCUUACUCCUCUCCUCCUGAACACCCUUUGAGAAAUUCUCGGUUGGGGCACCUGCGUUGUGGGUGUGGUCCUCCUGAACACCCUUUGAGGUAUUCCCGGUUGGGGCAUCUGCGAGGUGGGUUCCGACAGAGUUUCCGGCAGCCUUUCCGGUAGCUGCAUUGUGGGUUCCGGCAGACUCUCCGGCUUCUCCAUUUCAGGUUGUGCCGGACUUUC